CGCUGUCGAAGCUCCCGGUCUGGAUGACCACGACCUGAUACAUCUGCAGGCAGAGGGAGAGGACAACCCCGAAUGCACGCUGUGCGUGUGUAGAUCAGAGACAACUCGUGGGAAUUGGUUCUCACCCUCCGCCAUCAAUUCAAAUUAAAACGAAGCAAGCAGUUUGGAUGAUAUCACAGAAUCCGUGAAUUUGGGUUGCAGAUAACUGGCACCUGGUACCCUGGGGUCAGACACAUGACUCACACAUCUCUGGUCUCCAGGGGACCCUGCAUGUGGCACCAUGAAACCUUCAUUUCUCGGAAGACCGGGAGUCAGUGCCUCAUGUCCUGAGUGGCAAGCUGAGGUCUCCCAAGACAUUCCCAGGAGCAUGUAAGAGGUGACUGACAGAGCCUCCAUCACAUCUAAGCGCUGCUUACCACAAACUUGGAGACUCUCCUCUCCUCAAUUCGGGCUGAGGCGAUCUCAAAGAGCAGCUUGACGUGUCUCCAGCCGCUCUUCUCCCUCUGCCAGUGUUCCUGUAGCUCCCUCGUGGUCAUGCUGGAGUUGGAGCUGGGGCUAUCCUGGGCUUCUGGAAGGACAGUGUCUUUAAGGAUUCUGGGGUGAUGACUGGGUCUGCUUGGGAUGGGCGAUCAGAGUUCUGGAAGAGCAUACUCUUCCUCCACCCUCCCUCCUGGAAUCUACCUAGUGUGUUGACCUCAGCUAAUCCAGCGCUUGACUGCUGCUUGUCACGAAGCUCGGUGUGGGAUGUUGCGCCACCCACUCCCAGCCUGCCGAUGGACCAUUUUGUAACCUGGCAAACAGGGACCCAUCCAUGUGCUUCUGUACUCCCUACAGCGUUGACUCCAGGGAGCCACGGAGCCCGUCAGUGCGCAUCGUGUGGUGGAGGAGGAAGCCCUGAGGAGGUCAUGUUUCAGCUUCAGCUCUUACUAUACUAACACUGUCCGGUGUACCUGCCACUCUGCUUUGGAUUCAGCUCCCCUGUUCCCUUGCCUGGAAACCAACAGUGUUUUACA